rnacentral:rRNA from 1 species
GAUGAACGCUGGCGGCGUGCCUAAUACAUGCAAGUCGAGCGAACAGACGAUGCGCUUGCUUCUCUCACGUUAGCGGCGGACGUGCGAGUAACACGUGGAUACCCUACUUAUAUGACUGGUAUAACUUGGGGAAUCCGGAGCUAAUACCGUAUAAUAUCUUGAACCGCUUUGUUCAAUAUUAAAUGCCGGUUUUGUUGUCUCUUAUAGAUGGAUGCUCGCCGUAUUUGCUAGUUGGUAAGGUAACGGCUUACCAAGGGAAUGAUCCGUGACGGACCGGAGAGGGGAAUCGGCAACACUGGAACGGGGACACGGUCCGGACUCCUACGGGAGGCAGAAGAAGGGAAUCUUCGGCAAUGGGCGAAAGCUUGACGGAGCAAGGCGGCGUGGGUGAGGAAGGUCUUCGGAUCGAAAAACUCGUUUAUUAGGGAAGAACAGAUGUGUAAGGAACUAUGCACGUCUUGACGGUACCUAAUCAGAAAGCCACGGCUAACUACGUG